rnacentral:rRNA from 1 species
CCUACGGGUGGCAACAGUGGGGAAUAUUGGACAAUGGGGGGAACCCUGAUCCAGCCAUGCCGCGUGUGUGAAGAAGGCCCUCGGGUUGUAAAGCACUUUCAGUGAGGAAGAACGCCUGGUGGUUAAUACCCAUCAGGAAAGACAUCACUCACAGAAGAAGCACCGGCUAACUCCGUGCCAGCAGCCGCGGUAAUACGGAGGGUGCGAGCGUUAAUCGGAAUUACUGGGCGUAAAGCGCGCGUAGGUGGCUUGAUAAGCCGGUUGUGAAAGCCCCGGGCUCAACCUGGGAACGGCAUCCGGAACUGUCAAGCUAGAGUGCAGGAGAGGAAGGUAGAAUUCCCGGUGUAGCGGUGAAAUGCGUAGAGAUCGGGAGGAAUACCAGUGGCGAAGGCGGCCUUCUGGACUGACACUGACACUGAGGUGCGAAAGCGUGGGUAGCAAACAGGAUUAGAUACCCUGGUAGUC